ensembl:lncRNA KCNIP1-AS1 KCNIP1 antisense RNA 1
CUGGCUCCCGCACUCCCCAGGCGCACCACAUUUCAGCACGACGGACAGCGCAGCACUGGGGCGCGACUGGGGAGGCGGGGACCAAUACCACGCUGUUUCAGCCCGGCUUUUUCAAAUCUCUCGGGUCUCCGCCCUCAUUUCCGUGCAUUUUCGAAACGACUGUCACAGCAACCGAAGCCACAAAAACACAUUCACAGAAAACGGGGAAGCUCCAGGGUUCGCUUACCGUCUGACAAGUCAAUCAGUCCGAGGCAAUUUCUCCAAAGGUUUAACCAGUCCCUAAUCUUCUGCUAGCUGAGUGUAACCAUCACUGGCAACAUCUCAUGGCAUAUUCUCUCGGCAGCUCAGAGAAAACGUGUGUCAGUGUAGACCAUUUGAAAGACAUACAGAAAGAGCCCCAUUGCUUUAGAUCGCAGAUAGAUGGAGAGAUGAAAGAUGCUUUUUCAAAGGGACAACAAUUUGUCUUCACUUCCCAGUGAAAAACCCAACAAGCUGGUCUGGAACAUAUGUGGUCCCUGCUUUGACACAGUGAAAUGUCCCUGGAAACUGUACCACCAGGAAAGCUAUGGAAAUCAGCAAGGCAGUUGCUAAACCUUUGUCAGCUUGAAAUCAGCCAUGGUAGGGUGUUGACACCACAGAAAUGCUACACAUCAGUGUUUCUUCACCCUCCCCACUGUCUCUGAAUUACCAGGAUGCCACGCUACCAUUCCAGAUCCCAUCUGCCCAGAAGAAAACCUGAGAAAUUCACCUGCCCAGAGGUUUUUCUGACUUACUGUGUUUCCUCUCCUCUGGGGCCCUAGCAAGUGUAAUAAUUAACCCACUGGGCUUAAUGGGAUUUUAGGCAUUCACAUAUCCAGAUAUGCGGAACUAAAUUAGAAGCAGGAAGACUUCCAUGUUUCUGGAAAGAAUGAUGCAAGAAGGCAGAGUAGUGGUUCCCACUGUCUGCUUUGCUGUUACUGUGUAAAGACUUACAUUCUUCCAAGAAUUCUGACUUCACAGACAGCUCCCCUUCUGGAUUGUCUCCUAACCUUGAACUUUAGGAGCAACUGUGUCUCAGGUCCAUUUGCCUUAAAGAAACAAAGGUUUGAUUAUUUGUGAAAAGGUUUCUCUAGGGCUUGCUGCUGCCAUGGGGGCUUUCUGAGUGGUUCUCCUGGUAAGGUACUGUCUAAACCUCAUUUGGAAAAACUAAUUUGAUAGGGGCCUCAUUUUCCAGAAUGUUCUGCUGCAGUCGGUAUUAAAAUAAUGCCAAUAAUUGCA